rnacentral:rRNA from 1 species
AGUGAACGCUGGCGGUAGGCCUAACACAUGCGAGUCGAACGGCAGCACAGUAAGAGCUUGCUCUUACGGGUGGCGAGUGGCGGACGGGUGAGGAAUACAUCGGAAUCUACUUUUUCGUGGGGGAUGACGUAGGGAAACUUACGCUAAUACCGCAUACGACCUACGGGUGAAAGCAGGGGAUCUUCGGACCUUGCGCGAUUGAAUGAGCCGAUGUCGGAUUAGCUAGUUGGCGGGGUAAAGGCCCACCAAGGCGACGAUCCGUAGCUGGUCUGAGAGGAUGAUCAGCCACACUGGAACUGAGACACGGUCCAGACUCCUACGGGAGGCAGCAGUGGGGAAUAUUGGACAAUGGGCGCAAGCCUGAUCCAGCCAUACCGCGUGGGUGAAGAAGGCCUUCGGGUUGUAAAGCCCUUUUGUUGGGAAAGAAAAGCAGCAGGUUAAUACCCCGCUGUUCUGACGGUACCCAAAGAAUAAGCACCGGCCAACUUCGUG